UUUUAAAUGCUAGGCAUGACUGUGGAUGCCCCAGCUCAGAAAGGAUAAGGUACAAUGAAGGGCAGAGAGGAAAAGGUUUGAAAUGGUCUCUGUCCAAAGAGAUAUUAAACAGAAUAGCACUUUUCAACACAGAGAAAAAAAAGAGUUUAAAAGAGAUUUUGAGUUAUAAAAUGAUGAAUGGCAAGAGGAAAGGGAGGGAAUGAUGGCUAUUAUAUCUCAUAAGACAAGAACACGGAGGCACCAAAUGAGGCUAUCAGACUGCAGGCUUUACAGAAAAAGUAUGUCUUCACAUAAUGCACAGCCUGUAAAUGCCAUUCCAACAGGAUGCUUUAGAAGCCAAAAUUAUAAAUGAGUUCAAGAAACAACUCCUUGAGAGAAACUCAAGGAAUAAAUGUCUGCUGUGUGCUGAUAAAGAUGGCAGUGUGGGUCAGGGAAGCCCAAGGGUGUGCCAUGAAUGCCACCGAAGGCCAGGGACAAGGUGCCAUAAAGACCCUUGCUUUUCCUUAUGCUGUUGCAAAGAUAGCCUUUAGGUUUCUUCAGAAAUCAGGUGCAGUCUUGCAGUGAAAAAAGAAUUCUCCUUGGAGAGGGAGCAGGAAGAAGUCAUCAGGGCACCAAGCAGCAUGAGUAACUGUGCAAAGCGUAGGGAGAAUCGACCCUGGGGUGAUAUGACUCUGCAAGAAAUAAAUCAGUAUGAAGCAAAUUAUUUUAAAGACACCCAUUUCAGCUCUUUUUGACAAUAAUCAAAAAUCAUAAAACCAUGACAGUGAUAGACAAACCAGGAACACUCAGAAAGUAUCAGUGACAAAAGAACCAAAAGAGGCAGUUGAUUCCCUGCAGGGGAGUAACAAAGUGUUUACAAAGACUCAGAACCAUAAAUCAUCAAAGCGUUCCCUUGAAAAUAUUUCAAAAGUAAUGUUCAUUCCUACCUUUAUAUGGAGACACAAUAAAGAUAGGAAAAAGAUACAGCCCUUGCCUUUAAGGGCAUUUGGACUGAAGCAGAUACAGAAUGUCAAGUAACAACAACAGGGAAACAACAAGGAGAGAAAGAGGAGGGACUGCAGAAGAAACACAGUAUGAGGAUUAUAUGUAAGUUUAUAGGGUUGUUUUGGAUUGUGAGGGGGAAUCUUCAUCAGCUUGUUUAUUGACUUAUUCUCUACCUCUUUGCUUGCCUUAAACUGAAGUAAUUAUUCCAGGCUGCUUAUUGCAUCUGCUUUGAGUGUGGUCUCACAAAGGUUGGGUAUGGGAAUGGAUGUGUGGGAGGCAAAAGAGCGAAGACAAAAGGAGAAGUGAAGAUAAAGAACAAUAGAUCUUACAUUGUUUGAGGGGGACUUCAUACAGAUCCUCGCAUCACUUUUAGUAAUAAUAGCUGUUUCUCAUUUAGAGCUUUUCAGGCAUAAAUUGUAAAGUGUUUUAAAUAGAAUACUGUGUCAUUUUCCUCAUAUCAUAGCUGGAGAGAUGAUUUGCUCAAGGUCACUCAGCAGAAAAAAAAAUGCACUGUGCUCAAGCAGAGUACUCACAACCCAUGAAUGCUACUGCCAUGAUGCCCAUGAGCCACACUUGUUGGCUUGGACUUGUCACCUGAGACAUGGAGAUGAUGUAUUAGAAAUGAAUUCAUCAACUUCCCUCUACAUAAAAUAUAUGUUGGAAUACCAUAUCAACCUAUUUGUAGGGAGAAUUGACCUUGGUGGGUGCAUUUACACCACGCAGGGAUUCACUAGGGCAAACAAGAGGAUUUAAGUUCUCUUCUCUGCCUUAUUAUGAGUUGAUGAUAUAAAAUGGGUACCCAGGCAUGUAAUAUUGUCUCAGCAAGACUGAAGACAUAUUAAGUUGUACAUAUGAUGCCUGUUCUGAACUACACUCAGGCCACCCUAUGGCCAUUCUGACAAUGAUUUGCAAUAUAUUCAGAGAGGAUAGCUGAUCCCCAAAGUCCAGAGGUUUAGUAGGUUGCUGGCAUGCUUGAAUUGGACACCUUGGAUAUAAGGGAGAGCAGAAGAGUGCCACGCUCAUGAAUUGUAUGAAAAGUCAUCUCUCAGUGUUAUACACGUACUAGCAAGUUGUUGCACAUGGUUUUUUGAAGGGCAUUUUAAAUACGCAGAUUCUGUUGACUUCUAAAUCAUACAGAAUGGUUCCAGACCUAAAACUACUCUCUGAAUUAUUUCGUAUGUUAGUGUUAUCAUUACAUGAUAGUUUGAAUGAGUAAAGAAACAGUUCAGUUGAACACAAUACCUAUUAGCACUAUUUUC
ensembl:lncRNA